GACGAACGCUGGCGGCGUGCUUAACACAUGCAAGUCGAACGGAAAGGCCCUGCUUUUGUGGGGUGCUCGAGUGGCGAACGGGUGAGUAACACGUGAGUAACCUGCCCUUGACUUUGGGAUAACUUCAGGAAACUGGGGCUAAUACCGGAUAGGAGCUCCUGCUGCAUGGUGGGGGUUGGAAAGUUUCGGCGGUUGGGGAUGGACUCGCGGCUUAUCAGCUUGUUGGUGGGGUAGUGGCUUACCAAGGCUUUGACGGGUAGCCGGCCUGAGAGGGUGACCGGCCACAUUGGGACUGAGAUACGGCCCAGACUCCGACGGGAGGCAGCAGUGGGGAAUAUUGCACAAUGGGCGGAAGCCGGAUGCAGCAACGCCGCGGGCGGGAUGACGGCCUUCGGGUUGUAAACCGAUUUCGCCUGUGACGAAGCGUGAGUGACGGUAAUGGGUAAAGAAGCACCGGCUAACUACGUGC
rnacentral:rRNA from 1 species